GUGCUAGCUUAGGCAGCACAUAUAUACUAAAAUUGGAACAAUACAGAGAUCAGCAUGGCCCAUGCACAAGAAUGACACAAAUUCGUGAAGCUUCCAUAUUAAAA